CUGGAUUGGUCUCAGAGCUGUAGGAGGGAAAUGGAAAUGGCUCGAUGGAAGUGAUCUGACCAAUCAAGCCUGGAUACAGCAGCAGAAAGCCACUGAUGGUCAAUGUGUAACUUCUCUCCAGAACCGAGAAUGGACAUCAGUGAGCUGUACUGAAAAAAACGCCUGGAUCUGUGAGAAGAAGGCUUUAUCUGUUUAAACAUGAAAUGUUCAGGUUUUUGACAGGCUGUUUGGAAAACCUUAUUGAAGACUUAUGCAUUUUUCUGGUUUAGUUUUUUUGAUAAGCUAUUUUUAAAAGGCUUUACAUGUUUCAAAUGUUUUUUUCUGAUGAUUUGUCUGAAGAUGUAAAUUUAAAGUUUAUCAACAGAUUCAAAAGUCAGACAAAAUGACUUUUACGGUUCCUGAAGUUUUUACUGAUGGUUUUUGAAGGAACUUUAAGUGGUUUCAGCAUGAUUUUAGGAUUCCCACUGCCUGUGAAUCUUUCUUCAAUAGUUAAGAUAAUUUGUGUAUAUAACCAUUACAGAAGUUAUUUUGUUACACAGGAUAACACAAUUAUUAUUUUUAAAGAUGAGAAUUUAAAAAAAUGUCUGCCUUUUUCUUUCUGCCAUUUUUUCCUAUCAUUUAGCUUAUCAAACAUUUGUGGAGCCUGAUUUUAAUUAAGAAUUCCACAAAGAUGACAAUAAAUCUCUUCAUUUUAAAGCAAA